rnacentral:rRNA from 1 species
UACUAGAGUAGCACUCGCAUAUCAAUAAGCGGAGGAAAAGAAACUAACAAGGAUUCCCCUAGUAACGGCGAGUGAAGCGGGAAGAGCUCAAAUUUGAAAUCUUAAAGGGUUUCCCUUUACGAAUUGUAGUUUAAAGAAGUGUUUUUCUGUUGAGGUUUUGGUAAAAGUUCUUUGGAAUAGGACAUCAUAGAGGGUGAGAAUCCCGUAUUUGACCUUUACUUUCAACUUUGUGAUACACUUUCAAAGAGUCGGAUUGUUUGGGAAUGCAGUCCAAAAUGGGUGGUAAAUUUCAUCUAAAGCUAAAUAUUGGCGAGAGACCGAUAGCGAACAAGUACCGUGAGGGAAAGAUGAAAAGAACUUUGAAAAGAGAGUUAAACAGUACGUGAAAUUGUCAAAAGGGAAGCGUUUGACACCAGUGUUGUUUUUCUGAAAAUCAAUUAAAGAACUGUUUAUGCUAAGUUGUUUAGACCUUAUCAGCUAACUGUUUAGUUUUGAGCUUUUCUUUAAUGCACUUUUCAGUUAACAAGUCAACAUCAAUUUCUUUUGCUGUAAAAAAGCUUGAGGAAGGUGGCUUGAGAUUCGUCUUAAGUGUUUAUAGCCUCUUGCCUAUGCAGUCGGAGAGAUUGAGGUCUGCAGCGUAGAUCCUUCCGGGCUAAAUGCAUUCGUGCUAAGUUAUAACAUUUUAUAGACAACUUGUUGACUAUGAUUUGUCUUGUAGCUUACUCGCUUAUGUUAUUUUACCUACGCUUAGGAUGUUGAUAUCGCGCUCUCACUG